GAUGAAGAACGCAGUGAAAUGCGAUAAGUAAUGUGAAUUGCAGAAUUCAGUGAAUCAUCGAAUCUUUGAACGCACAUUGCGCCCGCCAGUAUUCUGGCGGGCAUGCCUGUUCGAGCGUCAUUUCAACCAUCAAGCCCCCGGCUUGUGUUGGGGACCUGCGGCUGCCGCAGGCCCUGAAAAGCAGUGGCGGGCUCGCUGUCACACCGAGCGUAGUAGAUUUCAUCUCGCUCAGGGCGUGCUGCGGGUUCCGGCCGUUAAACCACCUUCAUAACCCAAGGUUGACCUCGGAUCAGGUAGGAAGACCCGCUGAACUUAAGCAUAUCAUAAGCGGAGGA
rnacentral:misc_RNA from 1 species